UAGUGGCGCACGGGUGCGUAACGCGUGGGAAUCUGCCCUUGGGUUCGGAAUAACAGCUGGAAACGGCUGCUAAUACCGGAUGAUGACGUAAGUCCAAAGAUUUAUCGCCGAAAGAGAAGCCCGCGUCGGAUUAGCUUGUUGGUAGGGUAAUGGCCUACCAAGGCGACGAUCCGUAGCUGGUCUGAGAGGAUGACCAGCCACACUGGGACUGAGACACGGCCCAGACUCC
rnacentral:rRNA from 1 species